rnacentral:rRNA from 1 species
GAUGAACGCUGGCGGCGUGCCUAAUACAUGCCAGUCGAGCGAACAGACGAGGAGCUUGCUCCUCUGACGUUAGCGGCGGACGGGUGAAUAACACGUGGAUAACCUACCUAUAAGACUGGGAUAACUUCGGGAAACCGGAGCUAAUACCGGAUAAUAUAUUGAACCGCAUGGUUCAAUAGUGAAAGACGGUUUUGCUGUCACUUAUAGAUGGAUCCGCGCCGCAUUAGCUAGUUGGUAAGGUAACGGCUUACCAAGGCAACGAUGCGUAGCCGACCUGAGAGGGUGAUCGGCCACACUGGAACUGAGACACGGUCCAGACUCCUACGGGAGGCAGCAGUAGGGAAUCUUCCGCAAUGGGCGAAAGCCUGACGGAGCAACGCCGCGUGAGUGAUGAAGGUCUUCGGAUCGUAAAACUCUGUUAUUAGGGAAGAACAAAUGUGUAAGUAACUAUGCACGUCUUGACGGUACCUAAUCAGAAAGCCACGGCUAACUACGUG